AGUGGGCUCUCCACACCACUGCACUGUAUGAAUGGCCUGUUUCAUACCUGGGGGUGAUCUCAUUGUAGCAGGUCACCUGAACAAUAGUGCCCAGCUGCCUUGCUUACCAUGUGCCCUUUCCCCACUGUUCCUUGAUGGCCUGCCAGUCCUGGAGGCACAGCUUUCCAGGGGUCAGACUCUUCCUCUGACACCAAUGUUGAUGUAGAGUAGCUAGUCAUUCUACUGAAGUUUCUUCAGACUUACACCAGCACAAUGGAGAUCAAGAUGCCAGGGGACGUCAAUGCACAAAACAAGCCGUUGCAAGACUUUUUGAGGUGCGACAUUGUGACUGAUGAUUGGAACAGAAAUUCUUGCUGCUCUUCUGUUUGAUCCUUGCCUUCUCAAGGACCCUGUGUGAAGCUCGCUGUUACUUUAGACCAGCCAGCAAAUACGGGUGCCUUUCAAACAGAAACCUCUAUGUUUUUGGUGCAUCAUGGAAGACUG